CCUACGGGCGGCAGUAGUGGGGGAUAUUGCACAAUGGGGGAAACCCUGAUGCAGCGACGCCGCGUGGGUGAAGAAGCGCCUCGGCGCGUAAAGCCCUGUCAGCAGGGAAGAAAAUGACGGUACCUGAAGAAGAAGCCCUGGCUAACUACGUGCCAGCAGCCGCGGUAAUACGUAGGGGGCAAGCGUUAUCCGGAUUUACUGGGUGUAAAGGGGGCGCAGACGGCGAUGCAAGCCAGGAGUGAAAGCCCGGGGCCCAACCCCGGGACUGCUCUUGGAACUGCGUGGCUAGAGUGCAGGAGGGGCAGGCGGAAUUCCUGGGGUAGCGGUGAAAUGCGUAGAUAUCAGGAGGAACACCGGUGGCGAAGGCGGCCUGCUGGACUGCAACUGACGUUGAGGCCCGAAAGCGUGGGGAGCAAACAGGAUUAGAUACCCCGGUAGUC
rnacentral:rRNA from 1 species